rnacentral:lncRNA from 1 species
AUGGAGUUAUUUGAGAUAUACCUGUUGGCCCCUUUAUUUGGAAGGGUUAUAUUUUUUAAAUUAUAUUGUGUCAAAUUGCAAACAUGUUCUACUUUUGUAGAGGGGAUGCUAAAUAAAUAUUCACUUCUGUGUUUCCUUUUUCAUUUGCUUACUAAAAGCAUGUGCAUCCAGAGAUUCAAGUCAGCACUGGCUGUAGAGAAACACUUCAUUGAAACUACUCUACCAGAGAACAUAAAAUCUUUGAGGACUUCUCAAGUCGAAUGA